AACUGCAACACAGAGUCAACCAUGAGCUCCCCUGCCCAGCCCACGCCAGGCCAUGCCAGCUGAGGUGACCGCCUGCUUCACUAAUACAACCAGUUAUGCUGAAGCCUGCAUUCAGGCACUCACUCGGGAGUGUUUGAAGGAUGGAAUUUGCAUCAAGAUAUGCUGACACUGGCUGUCCAGGAUGCCCGCAGCCUUUAGACGGUGAUGUUUGACACCAUCCGCUCCCAUCAUUAAUAUUGUACAGUUGUAUCUGAAGAUAGCUCGAGUGUGGAAUGCAGGUUGUCAACCUGGCCAUGCUUAUUUUUCAUUUAUUGUCUGCUUUGCCUCCCACUAGACUGUAAGUUUUAUGGAAACAGAAAUCCAUCUUCCUUUGCCUCACUGCCCUUGAGCAAUGCCUGAAAACAUCAGGCAUUGGGUGUUUAGUAAACAAAUACCCAGGAUAAGAAAAGAUGAUGACUUUGCUUAGUAAUGGAGAUACUCUCUUUCUCUCUCAAGUUACGUGAAGCCCUGUUUUCACUGGGCAUGCUGCAUUCAGCCAAGAGACCGCAUUCCUCAAUCUCUGUCUCUUCCAGGGAGAUGUGGCCACAGGACUCGGUUCUGACCAAGGAGCUGAGAUUUGAUGGCUGGAGCCUCAACACCAUUCUGGACUCUUAGUGGGGAGCCAUACCUAGGAAUGGCUGGGUGGAAGGCCUGAUUGAGGCUGGGUCCCUGAUGACCGAGGGGCCAACACACCAGCCCUGGACUGCCAGCCUCCAGGUCUCCUAGGUGAUCUAUCUUAGAUCCAGCAACCCCACCGUUUCCCAGGAGAGCCCCAUCUUCACUCCGAGCAUGUGGUUCUGAGCCCACCUUCCUAACCAUUGCUGGUUGGCUCAGGAAGGGCCCCUGUCCCAAGCUGGUCCAAUCAGAGUUCUUCCUGGGAUUUUUCUAGAUGGAAGUGAGCAAAGAAGAUACUCUAUUCAACCCAGUGAAAACACCAUGAGACUUGAAGCAUGGAAGCUGCAUUACUCCUAUGUUUCCUGCCAGGUAGAACAAAGUGCUGAGAGAAUCAAACCAGAAAACAAAGAGAAGAGGAGCAAGAGAUGGAAAGUGACCCCGGGCAUGUACAUCCCUAAGCCCCAGCUGAUUACAUCAGCCAGAAAGCUCUCCUUGUGACCUAGGCUAGUAUGAGUGGGAUCCCUGUCACUUGUGAUCAAAGCAGUCCUGAUCCAGAAAGGCAGGGACUGGCUGAGGGCGGCCUGACAUUGGUGGCUGAGGGUUUAUACCAUCACACUUCAGAAAGUCAGAGUCACUAAGACUCUUUGCCCAGGAAGGCCACAGGUAUACAAAAAAGAUACUUUUAGAGAAACCAAUCUGGCUGCAGUGAGAGCAAUGGGCUGGAGGGGGCCAGGGCUGGAGGAACAGGUCAGAGUCUUUUGAAAUGUGCUGACGAUGACCAGAUCUCCAUCUCCAGCCCUUAGGGUUGGUGCCUGGUAGGGAUAUUUACUGGAAUCCAUGUUUGAGCUGAGAUGUCAA